rnacentral:rRNA from 1 species
UGAGGAAUACAUCGGAAUCUACUCUGUCGUGGGGGAGUAACGUAGGGAAACUUACGCUAAUACCGCAUACGACCUACGGGUGAAGCAGGGAUCUUCGGACCUUGCGCGAUUGAAUGAGCCGAUGUCGGAUUAGCUAGUUGGCGGGGUAAAGGCCCACCAAGGCGACGAUCCGUAGCUGGUCUGAGAGGAUGAUCAGCCACACUGGAACUGAGACACGGUCCAGACUCCUACGGGAGGCAGCAGAG